rnacentral:rRNA from 1 species
GAUGAACGCUGGCGGUAGGCCUAACACAUGCAAGUCGAACGGCAGCACAGGAGAGCUUGCUCUCUGGGUGGCGAGUGGCGGACGGGUGAGGAAUACAUCGGAAUCUACUUUUUCGUGGGGGAUAACGUAGGGAAACUUACGCUAAUACCGCAUACGACCUACGGGUGAAAGCAGGGGACCUUCGGGCCUUGCGCGAUUGAAUGAGCCGAUGUCGGAUUAGCGAGUUGGCGGGGUAAAGGCCCACCAAGGCGACGAUCCGUAGCUGGUCUGAGAGGAUGAUCAGCCACACUGGAACUGAGACACGGUCCAGACUCCUACGGGAGGCAGCAGUGGGGAAUAUUGGACAAUGGGCGCAAGCCUGAUCCAGCCAUACCGCGUGGGUGAAGAAGGCCUUCGGGUUGUAAAGCCCUUUUGUUGGGAAAGAAAUCCAGCUGGCUAAUACCCGGUUGGGAUGACGGUACCCAAAGAAUAAGCACCGGCUAACUUCGUGCCAGCCGCCGCGGUAA